AUUUCACUCUUAUAACCUACAGAGUUGGGCAAAUAGAUGAAUCCAAAAAUAGGGAAAUUCUCACAAGGCAAAUCACCUCCAGAGAAGGAAAAUCUCAAAAAGAUCAUAUCUUCUGGAAGACCUUACAGUACCAUAAACUGGAGAAAAGGAGAUUUGUAUUGAAUAGGUACCAAAGGGCUCUCCUGACAAGUGACCUCUAUGCAGAAAACUCAAGGUCUGAAACCACAAUUGACGCUUUAUAUAUGCAUAUAUCCAACAUUACUUCUUUAUUAACAAUUCCAUGAGACAAGGGGAGAAAAAUAAAAGCGGUGUUGCACUCUCAGAAUCAACAUUUAUUUUGAAUUUCACGAGCAAGAAAGUCUAAUUAGCUUUGAUUUUCAUAA